GACGAACGCUGGCGGCGUGCUUAACACAUGCAAGUCGAACGUGAUUUUUGUGGAAAUUCUUUCGGGAAUGGAAAUGAAAUGAAAGUGGCGAACGGGUGAGUAACACGUGAGCAACCUACCUUACACAGGGGGAUAGCCGUUGGAAACGACGAUUAAUACCGCAUGAGACCACAGAAUCGCAUGAUAUAGGGGUCAAAGAUUUAUCGGUGUAAGAAGGGCUCGCGUCUGAUUAGCUAGUUGGAAGGGUAAAGGCCUACCAAGGCGACGAUCAGUAGCCGGUCUGAGAGGAUGAACGGCCACAUUGGAACUGAGACACGGUCCAAACUCCUACGGGAGGCAGCAGUGGGGAAUAUUGCACAAUGGGGGGAACCCUGAUGCAGCGACGCCGCGUGAGCGAAGAAGGUUUUCGAAUCGUAAAGCUCUGUCCUAUGAGAAGAUAAUGACGGUAUCAUAGGAGGAAGCCCCGGCUAAAUACGUGCCAGCAGCCGCGGUAAUACGUAUGGGGCGAGCGUUGUCCGGAAUUAUUGGGCGUAAAGGGUGCGUAGGUGGUCCUUCAAGUCGGUGGUUAAAGGCUACGGCUCAACCGUAGUAAGCCGCCGAAACUGGAGGACUUGAGUGCAGGAGAGGAAAGUGGAAUUCCCAGUGUAGCGGUGAAAUGCGUAGAUAUUGGGAGGAACACCAGUAGCGAAGGCGGCUUUCUGGACUGCAACUGACACUGAGGCACGAAAGCGUGGGUAGCAAACAGG
rnacentral:rRNA from 1 species